GAGGACCAGUUGGCAGCUCUCACACAGUCCUGUCCUGUCUACCUACUGUCUGUCCUGUCCUGUGGUGGGAGGACAGUGAUGUGGGAGAGGGCCACUUUCAGCUUU
ensembl:miRNA gga-mir-1553 gga-mir-1553